GGCCAGGACUAGGAUUCCAUUUCCCUACCAUAGUCUUUGGCAUCCACUACAUACUGCUGGAUUACUUCCGAGGCAUUCAACUUCGUGGAUUUAUAUCGAGCAAGCAGGCGCUUGAUAACUUUGAGGCUAUGCGCAGUGGCAUCAUGGUAAUGGUAUUGCUCGAUGCAUCUUAUAAACUUUUCACUGGUUAUAAGCGAUUCGGAGUGUGGAGGUUUGGUAACUAGUGCCAGAGUUACCUAGAUAUCGGGGCAGCAUCAAGUGUCGUUAAUAUUAAUCUAUAUUCUGCAUAAUAUUAUGCCUUAAAUUUCCUUUAUGUUCUAUAAUAAAUUCAAUGUUCACUU